CUGGCCAUACUUCUGGUAAUAAUUAUAUUAAAAUUGUUUAAAAUAUUCAGUUUGAGAGGUUUUCAAUUAGGUUCUUCGUCUAGAAAGGCUAUCCUUUGCUGUAGAACCGACGCAAAGGACGUUCGACGAAUAUGUGGCGAGCUGCAUUUCGGAUUGCAUCGGCCUACACUUCAGUAAUAAAUCUUGCACCGCAAAUUACAAAACUGGAGGAUUUAUUGACGAGGAUUGCACCGCGUAUAAUUCGUUUCAUCCAACGUUGAUUUCAUCAGACCAGAAAGUCAUGCUUUGCGAUUUUAAUCCCAACAUAGAUUUUGGCGCGAACAUAAUGACAGCCGUGGAGCACAACCUUUGCACGCACGUCGCGUUUGGUCCGUGGCACGUUUACAACUCGGAACAAAUCAAAUUCGAUCCAAUCCGCAGCGUGAUGAAGAAACAACUGCCCGCGAAGGAAUAUUCAAAGGUGCGGGGAGUGAAAACAAUCCUUACUUUCGGCAGUCAGGAGGCAGAAAAUGGAAUGGACGCUGGAAACUGGUCAAUUGUGGCUGCGGAUGUGGAUUCGAGGAAAAAAAUAAUCACCCAGAUGGUUGAAAUCAUGGACGUGAACAAAUUCGACGGCAUCAGUGUCUUUUGGCACUACAGCGUCUGC